GUGUAGCUUAGUGGUAGAGCACUUGCCUAUCAUGUAUGAGGCCCUGAGUUUAAUCCCCAGUAC
rnacentral:tRNA from 1 species